CUCUCUCUCUCUCUCUCUCUCUCUCUCUCUCUCUCUCUCUCUCAAGACAAAGGUUAAAGGAAAGUAUUAUAAACUCUUUUUUUUGAGAGAGAGAGAUAGAGAGAGAGAGAGAGAGAGAGAGAGAGAGAGAGAGAGAGAGA
rnacentral:miRNA from 1 species